UACGGGGUGAGCAAGCGUUGUUCGGAUUUACUGGGCGUAAAGGGCGCGUAGGCGGCCAGUGCAAGUCAGUUGUGAAAUCUCCGAGCUUAACUCGGAAAGGUCAACUGAUACUGCUCGGCUAGAGUGCGGAAGGGGCAACUGGAAUUCUUGGUGUAGCGGUGAAAUGCGUAGAUAUCAAGAGGAACACCUGCGGCGAAGGCGGGUUGCUGGGCCGACACUGACGCUGAAGUGCGAAAGCUAGGGGAGCGAACGGG
rnacentral:rRNA from 1 species